rnacentral:lncRNA from 1 species
GAAUAUUGAUUUAAAACUUGUUGUCUAUUGUAUUCUAUUAUAUUUUUCCCUGUUGAAGACUAACGAUAAUUUGUUGUAUAUUAUCUUAGUCAUAAUAUUCUUUACUGGGCUAGUUGAGCUCACCCUUUUCCUUGUUGAUCCAUUUUUCUUCUCAGGAGGCGAGAAUGUAGCGAGUACUAGUCGGGGUAUGGAAUGAAGGUUCUAGAGAGGGUUGUUUAGU